AGCGCGAAAACAUCUUUGCCUGGAACUGAUAAUGCUCCGACAUUUGACUAAGUACCUGUAGUAAUUGUUUCGAACGUCUGGUACUCCGACCAUCUGAUACCAUAAUCAUGACGGAUUAUAUUCCGACAUUAAAUUAAGAAAAAUAAGUGAUGUUAUAUUUUGAUUGUAUUAUAAGUAAUAGGGCGAAUCGAUCGUUAUGUUGCAACGUCAGGGUCACGUUGCUUUAACGUUUUUGUGUUUUGAAUUCUUAAUGCAUAUUGAACCCAUAAACAGAAAACUCUUGAAGUCUAAUUGUAUCUAUUUAAUAAUUUUGGAUGUAGUGCAAUAGGACCUCAAGAUUGAAAAAGAAAUUUCUUCCAUGUGUUCCUCAUCACUCUUAGGGAUGACACGGUUUUUUUUUCCUGUGCUGCAUUAGGAUAUCUAAUGUUAUUACUUUCUGGAAGUUUCUUCCAAUAGCACCCAGGUUUGUGUUGACUCAGUGGAUGCCCGGCUCCUGAGUUGUAUAUUAUAAGCACCGAUCUCCACAUCAUUAUAAUGAUUAUAUAGUUGUGCUUGUGGAAGGACCCAAUGGGUGCAUUUUCUGGCACUAAUGCCAUGGAAGCAGUGCCCCUACAGCUAGACUUGUAGCGAGUACAUCUUAAUUGUCUGAAUAUCAAAUCAAACCUAUUAGUAGAACUUCUGCUUUAUAUGUGAGUAUAACCAUCUUCAGACAAGUAAACUAGUCUACCCCGUACUCCGGGUACUCUGCAAGAAUCAUUUCCAGUUGUCAACACAACUUCUAUUGAAGACCUAGACCAAAAUCCAUUUUCAAUAGCUUGAUUUUAAUUUCCUUAGUAAAUUGUAUAUAUAUAUAUAUAUAUUAUUUUAAAUAUCAAUUCAUUACCUAAUUUAAGUCUCAAAACAAUUAUAUUCAUGAUAAAAAAUUAUUAAAUUAAGUUUUUUUUUAUCUGUUUAAACUCGUAAUAUUCUUAAAUUAUUUUCUUAAUUUCAAUUUAUGAUUAAUUUCAAUUUUUCUUUCAUCAACUUUAAUUACUAAAAUUAUCUUAAACUUAUAUAU